rnacentral:rRNA from 1 species
GAUCCAGACUUUGAUUAUGGCUCACGACGAACGCUGGCGGCGUGCUUAACACAUGCAAGUCGUACGAGGCAGAUUUUCAUCACUGAACUUUAAAGAGCGGACUGAUGAGAGGCGUCGUGAAUGCGAAGCAUUCACCACACUUUUAUAAAGUGCUUAACUUUAAGGCUGAGUGAUGAAAAGAUGCCGAGUGGCAAACGGGUGAGUAACGCGUAGACAACCUGCCGUAAAGAUGGGGACAACAGUUCGAAAGGACUGCUAAUACCGAAUGUUGUAGAGUUUCCGCAUGGGGAUCCUACUAAAGGUGGCCUCUACUUGUAAGCUAUCGCUUUACGAUGGGUCUGCGUCUGAUUAGCUAGUUGGUGGGGUAACGGCUUACCAAGGCGACGAUCAGUAGCCGGUCUGAGAGGAUGAACGGCCACAUUGGAACUGAGACACGGUCCAGACUCCUACGGGAGGCAGCAGUGGGGAAUCUUCCGCAAUGGGCGCAAGCCUGACGGAGCAACGCCGCGUGAGUGAAGAAGGGUUUCGACUCGUAAAGCUCUGUUGUCGGGGACGAAUGUGGAGAUGGUGAAUAACCAUUUUCAAUGACGGUACCUGACGAGGAAGCCACGGCUAACUACGUGCCAGCAGCCGCGGUAAUACGUAGGUGGCGAGCGUUGUCCGGAAUUAUUGGGCGUAAAGGGAGCGCAGGCGGGAAGGUAAGUCUAUCUUAAAAGUGCGGGGCUCAACCCCGUGAGGGGAUGGAAACUAUCUUUCUUGAGUGCAGGAGAGGAAAGCGGAAUUCCUAGUGUAGCGGUGAAAUGCGUAGAUAUUAGGAGGAACACCAGUGGCGAAGGCGGCUUUCUGGACUGUAACUGACGCUGAGGCUCGAAAGCGUGGGGAGCGAACAGGAUUAGAUACCCUGGUAGUCCACGCCGUAAACGAUGAAUGCUAGGUGUAGGAGGUAUCGACCCCUCCUGUGCCGGAGUUAACGCAAUAAGCAUUCCGCCUGGGGAGUACGGCCGCAAGGC